rnacentral:rRNA from 1 species
GAUGAACGCUAGCGGCAGGCCUAAUACACGCAAGACGAACGGUAAGUUGAGUAGCAAUACUUAGCCAAGAGUGUCGUACGGGUGCGUAACACGUAUGCAACCUACCCUAUACAGGAGGAUAGCCUAGGGAAACCUGGAUUAACCCUUCAUAGUAUUAUUGGAUGGCAUCAUUUGAUAAUUAAAACUGGGGUGGUAUAGGAUGGGCAUGCGUCUGAUUAGUUAGUUGGCGGGGUAAUGGCCCACCAAGACGAUGAUCAGUAGGGGUUCUGAGAGGAAGAUCCCCCACACUGGCACUGAGAUACGGGCCAGACUCCUACGGGAGGCAGCAGUAGGGAAUAUUGGUCAAUGGAUGCAAGUCUGAACCAGCCAUGCCGCGUGCAGGAAGAAGGCCUUCUGGGUUGUAAACUGCUUUUGCCAGGGGAUAAAAUUUCCAUGCGUGGAAAACUGAAGGUACCUGGUGAAUAAGCCACGGCUAACUACGUGCCAGCAGCCGCGGUAAU